AGAGUUUGAUCCUGGCUCAGGAUGAACGCUGGCGGCGUGCCUAAUACAUGCAAGUCGAGCGAACGGACGAGAAGCUUGCUUCUCUGAUGUUAGCGGCGGACGGGUGAGUAACACGUGGAUAACCUACCUAUAAGACUGGGAUAACUUCGGGAAACCGGAGCUAAUACCGGAUAAUAUUUUGAACCGCAUGGUUCAAAAGUAAAAGACGGUCUUGCUGUCACUUAUAGAUGGAUCCGCGCUGCAUUAGCUAGUUGGUAAGGUAACGGCUUACCAAGGCAACGAUGCAUAGCCGACCUGAGAGGGUGAUCGGCCACACUGGAACUGAGACACGGUCCAGACUCCUACGGGAGGCAGCAGUAGGGAAUCUUCCGCAAUGGGCGAAAGCCUGACGGAGCAACGCCGCGUGAGUGAUGAAGGUCUUCGGAUCGUAAAACUCUGUUAUUAGGGAAGAACAUAUGUGUAAGUAACUGUGCACAUCUUGACGGUACCUAAUCAGAAAGCCACGGCUAACUACGUGCCAGCAGCCGCGGUAAUACGUAGGUGGCAAGCGUUAUCCGGAAUUAUUGGGCGUAAAGCGCGCGUAGGCGGUUUUUUAAGUCUGAUGUGAAAGCCCACGGCUCAACCGUGGAGGGUCAUUGGAAACUGGAAAACUUGAGUGCAGAAGAGGAAAGUGGAAUUCCAUGUGUAGCGGUGAAAUGCGCAGAGAUAUGGAGGAACACCAGUGGCGAAGGCGACUUUCUGGUCUGUAACUGACGCUGAUGUGCGAAAGCGUGGGGAUCAAACAGGAUUAGAUACCCUGGUAGUCCACGCCGUAAACGAUGAGUGCUAAGUG
rnacentral:rRNA from 1 species